UUAGUCCCCAUCCCCUCUUGUCUAUCUUAGAACCGUGGCAAAAUUAUACCAUCCUACAGUCAUUGAAAAUUGGAAUUCUUGACUCAUAUCUUGGCCAAGCAAGAAAAUGUUCUGGUUGAUGUUUCAGUCACCCUAUUUUUUCUCAAAGCCAAGUUAAAGGGGCCAUUUCUCUUCUUUUUUGCAUUGAUGCGUUUGCCUUGGCACCUUCUUUUGCCCUUCAAUUUCAUCCUUUGUUUAAAAAAUAAAAAGGAAAAAGUUUUGGCUGAACUUUCUGAGCUGGGAAAGCUGCAGGGAUUUUUUUAUGAGCUUUUUUCAGUUGCCUGAUAUUUUGCCAAGGGUUGGCUCUAACUGUGCAAGAUGUUUGGAUCCUGGAUGGGUAUUUUCUGCUAUAAA
rnacentral:misc_RNA from 1 species